CAGGCACUAAGGACUGAAGUGGUGCACGGACAUAUACGCAGGCAAAACACUCAUAUAACAUUAAAGAAGACAGGAUAUCUAUAUGGCGUAGGCAGGCCUUAAACUGCUUGGCUCAAGUGAUCCUUCUGCCUACUGAGUAGUAAGAACUGCAGAUGCAUGCCACCAGGCCCCUGGCAGUUCAUUAAGUGUCCUUUUAAAAGUAUUUAUUUAUUUAUUUAUUUACUGUGCAUGAUCUCGACCAUUGGUGCAUACAUGUGCACAGUGUAUGUAUGGAAGUCAGAGGGCAACUUGUAGGAACUGCUUCUCUCUAUCAUGCAGAUCCUGGGGAUUGAAUUCAGGCCAUCAGGUUUGCAGGCAAGUGCCUUUACCAUAGCUAUUAGGCCCCAUGGCUAUCAUUUCUAUUUCUAUUUUGUAAUCGAAGAAAUUGAAGUUAAGUAUCUUGUGUGCGCGUGGGUGGGGGGCUGAGGUAGGUUUUUAAGCGCUAGGGCCAGGAUUUAACCGCAUGCCACCCCGCUCCUGUAGUCCAUUCCUAUAGAGGACAAUGCAUGUUCAGAGAGGAACGCAGACUAUGGCAACAUGGGUAGUGGGGGGAGGCCCUGCCAUAAACUAGCUUCAGUGCGUACCUUUAUUCCUUUUCUUUUGACAGCUCUAUGGAUGUAUAAUUUACUGUAAAACAUACCCAACAUAAGUGUCAAACUGAUUUGUGGCAAAUCCACAGAGUUGCCUGAUCAUCACCACAUUCGACUGAUAGAACAUUUCCCAAGCCAAGCGAUAUGUCACAUCCCAGCACUCAGGAGGCAGAGGAAGCUGGAUCUCUGAGUUCAAGUCCAGCCUGGUCUACGGGAUGAGUUUCAGGACAGCCAGGGCUACAUACACAGAGAAACCCUGUCUUGGGGGAAGGGGGAGGGGAAGGGACAGGAGGAGGGGAGAGUGGGUGGAGAGAAUAUUUCCUUCAUGUUUUCUCACAGGGCACACGCUUUGGUCUGAGCCUUAGCGCCCUCAUCUGUAAGGGUAAUAAUACUGCCAGUCUCACGGGAGCACGAAAUGGGAGGUCUGAGUGGUGCGUGGCUCACGGAGCAUCAGCUCUUGUCACUCACCAGUAUUACUAUAUAGUCUCUUAGUCACCGGAACACAGACAUUUAGACUGGAAGUGCUAUAAAGACUGUUGAAUCUCACCCCUUCCUUUAACUGAAAUACAGUAAGGUGCCAAGAUACCUGGCAACUUUUCAAGUGAGGACACACAGUGCCCAUGGUAAGGCUGGAGCUGGAAUCCAAGUUUCUUGGUUGGUGGAUCGAUGCACUCUUUUCUUCAGAGGCAUUUUCCUUCUGCGGCAAAGGCACGGCAUUGUUCCACAGCACUGCCAUAGCUGUGGGUGCCUCUGGAGCAAUGCUGACAGGCAGGCAGUCAAGGACCCCGCCCGGGAGCUUGCUUAGCAGUCUGGCCUUGGAGCAGAGAAGCAGCUGGAGCAGGCUGUGUGCAGAAUCAGGAGACAAUAGCCAGUGUGGAGGCUGAGACAGGAAUGUCCAUUGUCAGAAAAGGGCAGGCAUUAACUCAGAGAAUGGAAGGCUCUGACGGCCAAGUCAGCAGCUCUCCAUAGAGCUUAGAGGCAAGGCCAGCUCCGUGGGCUUCUGAACAUGCCUCGUGCUUAAAGGGCCUCUGCUUGGCUUAAUGCCUGCUAUUCUGAAAUUCCUGGUACGUUUAAGCAAAGAAUCUCACAGUUUUGUUCAGCACUAAACUUUUUAAAUCCUGUAACCAUCUUUGUGCACGGGGCAGAGCAGAACAGAGCAGAGCAUGGGCUCCUAAGGCCCCAUCAAGGGAUCAUGUCUCCACCCUGAAUUUUUAUUCACGUGUACUCUACUCCAGAGGAUAAAGCAAGGAGGAUCACUUGGGUUCUGGGGCUUUGGCCUAGCCUGGGCAACACAACCAGACCCAUCUUGCAAAGGAAGGAAAGAGAGGGGGAGCAGGGAAAGAAGGAACAUCGGGAUAAGAUAGGGAGGUUGGGAAGAAACAAAGGUGAAUGUGUGGUGUGCAUCUGUUAUGCUACCACCAGGGCAGCCAAGGCAAUGUUACAACAAACUCAAAGCCAGCAUGGGAUACAUAGCAAGUAGCAGGCUAACCAGAGCAUAUAUGUAUAUGUGUGUGUAUAUGUUUACACACAUAUAUGUAUGUGUGUAUGUAUGCAUACAUGCAUAGACAAGCAAACAAAGUUGUAAGGCAACUUGCAUUCUAUGAGUCACGGUCAUAUGUCGAAGGUGGCUCACAAAACUAUAUUUCUGCAUACACAUAUAUGCAGGGGUCUUUUGCUUUGUUCUCACUAUGUAGCACUUCUGGCUGGUCUGAAGCUUACUCUGUAGACCAGGCUGGGCUUGAACUCACAGAGAUCCUUCUUGUCUUCCUCCUCCCAAGUGCUAUGACUAAAAGUAUUCAGCACUAUGCCUGGCUCUGUAUAUAGUUUUUAAAGUCUACACAGAUACUUCAAGCUAACAGAAGUUGUUCCUUCUUCUGGCAGAUUUAUCAAGGGAGUCCACUCCUCUGAUUGAAUUUUUACUUACUAUUUGUUUAAUUUUAAAAUUUCAUUUAAAAAAAUCUUUCAGUGUUUUGAAAAGUCUCACGUACCCCAGGCUGGCCCCCAUUCAAUAUGUAGCAAAGGAUUGCCUGGAAUUUCCUUUUACCACCUUUUAUUUAUGUAUAUGUGUACUUGCAUGUGGGCACACUGCCAUAGAAGUGCUCCUGCCGUGGUAGGAGUUGGUUCUCUCUUUCUACCACGUGGGUCUCAAGGACUGAACUCACUUCAUCAGGCUUAGCUACAGGCACCUUUACCCACUGAGCCCUCUCGCCAGCCUGAGUUGUUUGCCUUGUAUAGGGAGAAUGUGUUCAUGCAUGCCUUACUUACGUAAUUAUAAAUAAAAAUAUGGUAUACUCCUA